CCUACGGGCCUCAGCAGUGGGGAAUAUUGCACAAUGGGCGCAAGCCUGAUGCAGCCAUGCCGCGUGUAUGAAGAAGGCCUUCGGGUUGUAAAGUACUUUCAGCGGGGAGGAAGGUGUUGUGGUUAAUAACCACAGCAAUUGACGUUACCCGCAGAAGAAGCACCGGCUAACUCCAUGCCAGCAGCCGCGGUAAUACGGAGGGUGCAAGCGUUAAUCGGAAUUACUGGGCGUAAAGCGCACGCAGGCGGUCUGUCAAGUCGGAUGUGAAAUCCCCGGGCUCAACCUGGGAACUGCAUUCGAAACUGGCAGGCUAGAGUCUUGUAGAGGGGGGUAGAAUUCCAGGUGUAGCGGUGAAAUGCGUAGAGAUCUGGAGGAAUACCGGUGGCGAAGGCGGCCCCCUGGAUAAAAACUGACGCUCAGGUGCGAAAGCGUGGGGAGCAAACAGGAUUAGAUACCCGUGUAGUC
rnacentral:rRNA from 1 species